rnacentral:piRNA from 1 species
UUGAAGGUCAUAACAGGCCCUGUAGGUAUC